UUAUGUUCUUUUGCAUUUGCUGAGUAGAUUUACUUCCAUUGAUGUGGUCAAUUUUAGACUAGCUGUGAUGUGGUGCUCUGAAGAAUGUAUAUUCUGUGGAUUUGGGGUGGAGAGUUCUGUAAAUGUCUAUUAGGUUUGCUUGUUCCUGAUCUGAGUUCAAGUCCUGCAUAUCCUUGUUAAUUUUCUGUAUCAUUGAUCUGUCUAAUAU